rnacentral:rRNA from 1 species
UACGUAGGGUGCAAGCGUUGUCCGGAAUUAUUGGGCGUAAAGAGCUCGUAGGCGGUCUGUCGCGUCUGCUGUGAAAACUCGGGGCUUAACCCCGGGCCUGCAGUGGGUACGGGCAGACUAGAGUGCGGUAGGGGAGACUGGAAUUCCUGGUGUAGCGGUGAAAUGCGUAGAUAUUGGGAGGAACACCAGUGGCGAAGGCGGCUCACUGGACCGGUACUGACGCUGAUGCGCGAAAGCGUGGGGAGCAAACGGG